GACAGAGGGUGCUAGCGUUGUUCGGAAUUACUGGGCGUAAAGGGCGCGUAGGCGGCUCGUUUAGUCGGGUGUGAAAUCCCAAGGCUCAACCUUGGAACUGCAUUCGAUACUGGCGGGCUAGAGGCCGGAAGAGGUGGGUGGAAUACCCAGUGUAGAGGUGAAAUUCGUAGAUAUUGGGUGGAACACCGGUGGCGAAGGCGGCUCACUGGUCCGGUUCUGACGCUGAGGCGCGAAAGCGUGGGGAGCAAACAGG
rnacentral:rRNA from 1 species